UACGUAGGUGGCAAGCGUUGUCCGGAUUUAUUGGGUUUAAAGGGUGCGUAGGCGGUCAUAUAAGUCAGCGGUGAAAUCCGGCAGCUCAACUGUCGAUGUGCCAUUGAUGCUGUAUGACUUGAGUACUGAUGAGGUAGGCGGAAUUGACGGUGUAGCGGUGAAAUGCUUAUAUAUCGUCAAGAACACCGAUAGUGAAGGCAGCUUACUACGCAGUAACUGACGCUGAGGCACGAAAGUGUGGGGAUCAAACAGG
rnacentral:rRNA from 1 species